AUUGAACGCUGGCGGCAGGCCUAACACAUGCAAGUCGAACGGUAACAGGAAGAAGCUUGCUUCUUUGCUGACGAGUGGCGGACGGGUGAGUAAUGUCUGGGAAACUUCCUGAUGGAGGGGGAUAACUACUGGAAACGGUAGCUAAUACCGCAUAACGUCGCAAGACCAAAGAGGGGGACCUUCGGGCCUCUUGCCAUCGGAUGUGCCCAGAUGGGAUUAGCUAGUAGGUGGGGUAACGGCUCACCUAGGCGACGAUCCCUAGCUGGUCUGAGAGGAUGACCAGCCACACUGGAACUGAGACACGGUCCAGACUCCUACGGGAGGCAGCAGUGGGGAAUAUUGCACAAUGGGCGCAAGCCUGAUGCAGCCAUGCCGCGGGUAUGAAGAAGGCCUUCGGGUUGUAAAGUACCUUCAGCGGGGAGGAAGGGAGUAAAGUUAAUACCUGUGCUCAUUGACGUUACCCGCAGAAGAAGCACCGGCUAACUCCGU
rnacentral:rRNA from 1 species